GCCUGGCUAGCUCAGUAGGUAGAGCACCAGACUCUUAAUCUGGGUGUCACGGGUUCGAGUCCCGUGCCGGGUG